CUGCGGUGAAUACGUUCCCGGGCCUUGUACACACCGCCCGUCGAGCCAUGGAAGCUGGGGGUACCUGAAGUACGUAACCGCAAGGAGCGUCCUAGGGUAAAACCGGUAACUGGGGCU
rnacentral:rRNA from 1 species